AUCWGGAAGUUUCGACWUCCUCCUGUGUAUUUGUCUGCUCAUAGUAAACCACGAAGUCAUAGUAAACCGCCCGCUAAGGUAGUGCCGACAAACUAAAAAUGAUGGCUUUGUGUACUGACGAACAACACAGCAAUCUCAGAACUUCCGUAGACCUGUUUGUCACUUACGUUUGUCAUUACGCCUGUGUGGUGUUCUGUGCUAAUUACAAACGAGCGAAMAUGAGUUAUCUUUCACCGUGCUACCUACCAGAGAUUUCCCCCGAUGCUGUCAGUGGCUUGCGGCUAUCGAGAAUGAUGGCGCGCAUUACGGUGACCAAAGAUUAUCAUAGGUGUUUUCAGGCUGAACUGUUGGGGAAUCGAUUUCGACGACAGCUGAGAAGUGAUGCGAUACCAUCGAUUUUUUUCCCUUCACAACAAAAUGGAAGAUUCUCGAUAAGAGGUGGUACAGAAUCGGCUUCCAACUCUGCAGGUGAAGGCAAGUUGGCAAAAGUAUUUACAAGCUGAUAAAUAAGAGAGCUCAAUUUUAAAGUACACAUGGUAUUAACAUGAAUUUGGUAGAUUUUGUUUGGUUUGUGUUAUGGGGUUAACUGCCUUGUUCAAGGGCAGAACGACAGAUUUUUACCUUGUCAGCUCGGGAUUCGAUCUAGCAACCUUUCGGUUCCUAGCCCAAAGCUCUAACCACUAGGCUACCAACCCCCUUUUUUAACCUUUUCUCUUUGUAAAACUCAGGUUAUCUGGAGUUAUUCUAUGGUCCCCUGCUGAAGCAUACCCCCAAAGUGUUGUCAUUUUGAGUACACAAGCAYGAGGGAGCAGACACACCUUAAGGUUAUGGAGCACAACAAGAUUUUGGGACAGAAACCAGCAAGGGACACUGAAAGGGGACUUGCAGUACCAGCAAAUAUUCUGCAAGAGGACCAAAUGUGUUUAAGAAAAGCCCUCCACCACUUUCGGCAGAGUCUUAUCCACCUGACCGUUCACCGCAGACAGGACAAGACCAUUCGCCAUAAGCACAGAGUCUCAGCUUCCCCAGCCUACCAUGCUGAACACCACUGCCAGUGUACCAAAGCCAGAUAAARGACUAUGGCUGCGUUUACACAGGUAGCCCAAUUAUGAUAUUUUUUUCACAAAUUGGUCUUUUUACCAAUCAGAUCAGUUCUGAAAAGGCCAAUUAAUGGGAAAAAUAUCAGAAUUGGUCUGCCUGUGUAAAUGCAGUUUGUGUGGCGCAGCAUAAGACCAUGUAGAACCACUAUAAAAUAAAUAUGGAUAUUUUAUAUCAAUCUUCUUAAUUUGUCUGCCUUUAUGGAUUCACAGAAGAUAUUUAUAUAAGCUGUAUAGGGCUCUGUAGCAUAAAACAUAUGUCAAAAUCAAAAAUACAGGGUAGUGUACACUAUUUAAUGCUACUGGGUAUUCAACAACAAUGUUAUAUGGUAAAUGUAACAUCCAUUUUGUUUUUUAUUAAUAGUGUAGCACAGUUCAGUGCAGGAGUGGCUUCGGGACAAGUCUCUAAA